rnacentral:rRNA from 1 species
CAAAAGCGUAUAUUAAAGUUGUUGCAGUUAAAAAGCUCGUAGUUGAACCUUGGGCUUGGCUGGCCGGUCCAUCUUUUUUGAUGCGUACUGGACCCAGCCGAGCCUUUCCUUCUGGCUAGCCUUUUGGCGAACCAGGACUUUUGCUUUGAAAAAAUUAGAGUGUUCAAAGCAGGCCUUUGCUCGAAUAUAUUAGCAUGGAAUAAUAGAAUAGGACGUUAUGGUUCUAUUUUGUUGGUUUCUAGGACCAUCGUAAUGAUUAAUAGGGACGGUCGGGGGUAUCAGUAUUCAGUUGUCAGAGGUGAAAUUCUUGGAUUUACUGAAGACUAACUACUGCGAAAGCAUUUACCAAGGACGUCUUCAUUAA